rnacentral:rRNA from 1 species
UACAGAGGGUGCAAGCGUUGUUCGGAAUUAUUGGGCGUAAAGGGUGCGUAGGCGGCGCGGUAAGUCGGGUGUGAAAUCUCGGAGCUUAACUCCGAAACUGCAUUCGAUACUGCCGUGCUUGAGGACUGGAGAGGAGACUGGAAUUUACGGUGUAGCGGUGAAAUGCGUAGAUAUCGUAAGGAAGACCAGUGGCGAAGGCGGGUCUCUGGGCCGUAACUGACGCUGAGGAGCGAAAGCAUGGGGAGCGAACAGG